AUGCGAACUAGCCUGGUUGGACUCUCACCCACAGGUCACUGGGGUCUGCCUGGUGGUCAUACCCAGGUCCUGGUCCCCCUGAGCUGCCCUGAAAGGAGUUCUCUCUUUACCUUUCCAGUUCAGUCUUGCAUUUUUACCAGAUGGUCACUGGGAAUGGUGCUUACCGAAAGUCUGGGGUGUGGGAUGGGCCUCUCUGAGACCCCUGGGGCCGUUUGUUGAAAACCCAGAGUCUGGAGGUCCACCCUAAGUCCCCUGAGUUCGCAUCCCUAGAAAUGGGGCUGGAGUUUCUAUUGGGAGAAAACACCUUUGCGGUUUGGUUGGCAGAUUUCGUCUGCUUACACUUAUUGGGGUGACGGUAUACCCGCAUUAAUUCCUAGGCAUUCUUCAUUGCUUGUCCUGUUGCCCUGCCGUCCCCGGCUCCCAGGUGCAGGACUUUGCAGCUGGGUUGCAGCCAAUACCACACGGAUGGUGCAAGUUGAGGCCGGAGGGAGGACGCCAGGAGCCCAGACGUAGAGCUCGGUAUGGAGGCUGGCAGGGACGGAGUCCAGAUUUGACCCUAUGAUGAAAUUCUACAUUGGACAGAAGCAAGGUUCCUCCAAACUGCAGAGCCUUGGGGAGUCUUGGGCAAGGGGAAUCGACUCCAGGCAGAAUUAGGCAGAGAUGGAUGUGGCUCUGGCUGACAGCCCCCAGCAGAGAAUGUGCAAUGGAUUGAAUUGUGUCCCUCCAAGUUCACACAUUGGAGCCCUGACCCCCAGGACCUCAGAAUGUGACUGUACUUGCAGACAGGUCUGUAAAGGGGAUUAAGGUAACAUGAGGUCCCUGGGGUGGGCCCUGAUCCAUUAGGACUGUGUCCUUAUCAGAAGAGGAGAUG